UGGGCAAUCUGCCCUUCACUCUGGGACAAGCCCUGGAAACGGGGUCUAAUACCGGAUAACACUCUGUCCCGCAUGGGACGGGGUUAAAAGCUCCGGCGGUGAAGGAUGAGCCCGNGGCCUAUCAGCUUGUUGGUGGGGUAAUGGCCUACCAAGGCGACGACGGGUAGCCGGUCUGAGAGGGCGACCGGCCACACUGGGACUGAGACACGGCCCAGACUCCUACGGGAGGCAG
rnacentral:rRNA from 1 species